UACGGAGGGGGCUAGCGUUGUUCGGAAUUACUGGGCGUAAAGCGCACGUAGGCGGCCAACUAAGUCAGACGUGAAAUCCCUCGGCUUAACCGGGGAACUGCAUCUGAUACUGGAUGGCUUGAGUUCGGGAGAGGAUGGUGGAAUUCCCAGUGUAGAGGUGAAAUUCGUAGAUAUUGGGAAGAACACCGAUGGCGAAGGCAGCCAUCUGGACCGACACUGACGCUGAGGCGCGAAAGCGUGGGGAGCAAACAGG
rnacentral:rRNA from 1 species